AGUGAACGCUGGCGGUAGGCCUAACACAUGCAAGUCGAACGGCAGCACAGUAAGAGCUUGCUCUUACGGGUGGCGAGUGGCGGACGGGUGAGGAAUGCAUCGGAAUCUACUUUUUCGUGGGGGAUAACGUAGGGAAACUUACGCUAAUACCGCAUACGACCUACGGGUGAAAGCAGGGGAUCUUCGGACCUUGCGCGAUUGAAUGAGCCGAUGUCGGAUUAGCUAGUUGGCGGGGUAAAGGCCCACCAAGGCGACGAUCCGUAGCUGGUCUGAGAGGAUGAUCAGCCAAACUGGAACUGAGACACGGUCCAGACUCCUACGGGAGGCAGCAGUGGGGAAUAUUGGACAAAGGGGGAAAGCCUGAUCCAGCCAUACCGCGUGGGUGAAGAAGGCCUUCGGGUUGUAAAGCCAUUUUGUUGGGAAAGAAAAGCAGCAGGUUAAUACCCCGCUGUUCUGACGGUACCCAAAGAAUAAGCACCGGCUAACUUCGUG
rnacentral:rRNA from 1 species